rnacentral:rRNA from 1 species
CGGACGGGUGAGUAACGCGUAGGCAACCUGCCCUUUGCAGAGGGAUAGCCAUUGGAAACGAUGAUUAAAACCUCAUAAUACUAAAUAGUCACAUGGCUGUUUGGUCAAAGAUUUAUCGGCAAAGGAUGGGCCUGCGUCUGAUUAGCUAGUUGGCAGGGUAACGGCCUACCAAAGCGACGAUCAGUAGCCGGCCUGAGAGGGCGGACGGCCACACUGGGACUGAGACACGGCCCAGACUCCUACGGAAGGCAGCAG